rnacentral:lncRNA from 1 species
UGGCCGUGCCUUGCAUUUUAACAGGGUAACCUUCACUGGCCCCGGCAGUCUAGCGGCCCUCCCUGGUACUCCCGUAGCCUGCGCCUGGGCAGGCCUUGACGUUUUGUAGCGCCCUUCUCCCCUCACGGCAUCCUUGCCUCUGGUUUCCUGAUGGGCCAACCAAUGACGUUUGUAUUGGCCUUCGCCCCUCCUCAUACAGAAAGAUGCUAAUGCAUUCUUCAGCCGCCUAGCUGAAAAACAUUCCCAGGCAAGGGUGUUUGAUACGAUUGUUUAUUUCUGGCUUUUCCACACCU